rnacentral:lncRNA from 1 species
GUUGGCCACAAGCCUUUGUGGGGAAGGACUUCUAGGGGCAGGUUUCCAGCAGCCUCUGAUCUCCAGAUAACUUGACCGGGCCAGUCACAUAGUGAAUGAAAUCAUUUUGGGCCCUUCCCCCAUCAGACACUUUUCCAGGAAAUAGCUUUUUGCUGCCAUGACCUCUUUUGCUGCUGUUUGAUAUCCUUGAUAUGAAAAAUGUGAAUGGAGACGAGCACCCCAUUAACCAGCAGCUCUUAGGCAGCAUUGCUUGUUGGAGGUAUCUUUUCACAGAGGUGAGCCGGCAGCGCCCUGGGCAUUAUGGGAGCAUCCUGAAGAUGCCAUUUGGAGUAGCUACUUUGAGGACAAGAGACAAAAAGCCUGAGGAGAAAGUCACCAUGAAGGAAACAGAAAGAUUAAACAGCAUGCGUGAUCUUUGAUUCAGAGUCCCCAUCUCACCCUGGACUGCCUUCCUUUGGAAUUCCCUUGUGGAAAAAAAAAUUAAACUCUUAUUUGGUUAAAUAAUUUUCUGGAGGCCAGAAGCCUGACAUCAGUUUCACAGAGUCAAAAUCAAGGUGUUGGCAGGAUACUCUACAGUCCCUCUGGAGACUUUAGGUGAGAAUCCAUUCUUUGCUUUUUCCUGGUGGCUGCUGGCAUUCCUUUGCUUGUGGCUGUGCCAUUUGAAGGCCAAUAUCUUCAAGUGUCUCGAUGCUAUGUCUUCACAUAGCCUUCUCCUAUGGGUGUCUCCUCCACUCUGUGUCAAAUAUCCAUGUAAAAAGGUUGCCUGUGAUGGCAUUUACAGCCUACCUGAAUAACUCAGGACAAUCUUCCCAACUCAAGAUCCUUAUCUUAAAACAACCCUUUUUCCAAGUAAGAUAAUACUCACAAGUUCUAAGGAUUAGGACCAGAUUCUUUUGGGGACCAUUUUUCAGGCUUCCACAAUACUUAAUGUUCUCCCACCACCAAAGAAAAUCUGUCUCUUUUAUUUUCUUUAUUUUGAUGGUUAUGAACGUAAUUCAAGUUUCUUAUCAAAAAGUGUCU